UACGAAGGGUGCAAGCGUUACUCGGAAUUACUGGGCGUAAAGCGUGCGUAGGUGGUUCGUUAAGUCUGAUGUGAAAGCCCUGGGCUCAACCUGGGAAUGGCAUUGGAUACUGGCGACCUAGAGUGCGGUAGAGGGGUGUGGAAUUCCCGGUGUAGCAGUGAAAUGCGUAGAUAUCGGGAGGAACAUCUGUGGCGAAGGCGACACCCUGGACCAGCACUGACACUGAGGCGCGAAAGCUAGGGGAGCAAACAGG
rnacentral:rRNA from 1 species